GCCUCUGGGCUGUAAACCUCUUUUAUCAAGGAAGAAGAUCUGACGGUACUUGAUGAAUAAGCCACGGCUAAUUCCGUGCCAGCAGCCGCGGUAAUACGGGAGUGGCAAGCGUUAUCCGGAAUUAUUGGGCGUAAAGCGUCCGCAGGCGGCCCUUCAAGUCUGCUGUUAAAACGUGGAGCUUAACUCCAUCAUGGCAGUGGAAACUUCUGGACUUGAGUGUGGUAGGGGCAGAGGGAAUUCCCGGUGUAGCGGUGAAAUGCGUAGAUAUCGGGAAGAACACCAGUGGCGAAGGCGCUCUGCUGGGCCAUAACUGACG
rnacentral:rRNA from 1 species